CCCUGCCUCAACGUGGAUCCGUCCCUGCUCCCAACUCUUCUUUCCCUCGUACUCCAUCAUUUCUUCUUCUUCUUCCUUCUCUUCAUUCUGUCUCCACCCUUAUACGCAUCUUUCCUUCUUUUCUAUUGAGCUUCCAAAUAUUCUCACGGCUUGCAAUCGUAGUUGCACCCUCCAAACACAAACUGCUCCCUUGUCUUUUCAUCUGUAAGUAUUCAAACCUCUCUCUCUUCACAGGGUGUGAUGUCAAGACAUGGGGCAUGCUGUUUCGUUUUUGUUUUCCUUAACUCACCUUCUUUAUUUGUGCUUAGCCUCUUAUGUUCAUCUGGGUGUUGAAAUUUUCAAUCAAAAAUGUUUCUUUUUUGUGAAGAAUUGCUUGGUCUUUAAUGGACGCGUUUUAACUUUCCGCAUGGAAACUGAUAAGGUAACUUCGUCAACACUUGUGUUGAUAAUUGAAAUCCUGAUUUCUAUGUGUCUAAUAGAUGGAAAUAAACACCUUUUGCAUCUCACUUUAUUAUGUUCAACACUUACAAACGCCACCAUAUGCCAUAGUUCAUUGGUGGUUGAAUCUUGUUUUCUCUCUGGACAGAUCUAGAAAGAAAAUUGUUUAGCCUGUGCUUGAUUUAUAUUUUAUAAAAACUGAUUUUAGUUUCAACUAAAAUUUAUGUAGUGUUAAAUUAUUUUAGAAAAAUAGUUUUUAAAAUCAAAAAGUGAGAAAGGAAUAGAACAUGCUCUUAAUUUCUAGUUCCUGCGAAAAAGUGAUUUAGUGAUUGAUGAUGGAUAUCAGAAGCUUUUUUAUUUUCCCUCUUGUACAUGAUAACAUGAUCUGCAUGAUGCACGAUAUCCCUGAGAUAUUGGUUUCUUUGUUUUUCCAAUUUGUCUUUUGCUUUGAGAGAUAUUAUGCAAUUGACUUGCUUGUUUCUAUUGGAAGAACCUCUUCUCUUCGCAAAUAUUUAGCUCUCAAGUAGUAGUCUAGUAUCGUAGCUUAUUUGGAUUGAGUACUAAGAGGAGUUGAGACUGGUCUUUUGCUAUAUAGCGGAGAAGUUUGAAUUUCCGUUGAGUGGUACCCACAUUUACUAUUCAACAGUGUCUCAAACUAGGGAAAAGAAAAGUAAAUUGCACUCAUUAGAUUUCUUUCUUUGGCUAGCUUCUUUCUAGAAAUUAGUUUAUUUAAUUAAGCAGUUGGAUGAGUCCUGUCUGCAAUUGUUUUAAUAAUUGAAGCAGGCACCUACUAUAUUUAAUGUCUGUAACUGUAAUUGUCAUUUUCCUUGAAAUCAUUGGCAACAAGUGAUUGUAGUCUUGUAAUAUUUUUUAUCAGAAACCUUUUUUUUUUCCUACAGAGAGGAAUAGAGAUUAAAUGCAGAGUUAUUUUUAACGGCUUUGGAGGACACUGUGAUAUGCACUACUAAAAAAUGUUUUUUUACGACAUGAAUUUAAAAACGGGGGUCUCGAUACACCAUCCUUGUUAAGUAGCGGUGGUUUUUUUGUAAUUAACUGAAACUUUUCAAAGACGGGUGUUGUUAGCAGUGUCUUUGAAAUUAAAAUUUAACGUCGUUUUGUAAAAAACCUGUCCUCCUCGAGAAAAAAUAUAUGUUUGUGCGUUACUCUUUCCCUCUUUCUCUUCGCGUCUGUUAGUCUUCUUAGUAUUUUUUAUUUUCAAUUUGUAAUUCCCUCGCAUUCAUUUCUCCUCGCGUUUGUUCCUCUUCUGUUCCUCUUUCCUCUUUCUCAUCGCGUCUUUUCCUCUUUCCUUUUUAUCCUCGCGUCUUUUCCUCUUCACCAUGUCACCCUGUCUGUUCCUUUCCCCCGCGUUCCAUUCCAUGGAGAAAGAGCUACACGUUUGGAUGGAAGCAGAAUCGCGUUUGGAUGGAAGUGGUGGCGGAGGGGCUAUAGGGACUCACAGAGUACCACGAGAGGGGCUAUGGGAAAUACAGAAAGCAGUAAGUGCCUCGAAGCCAUAUGCCAAAGUGACGCGUCAUUUUUCCCCGAGGUGUACAACUUGCUCAACCAGUGUUACCAUCUCGUCGGAGCUAUUCCGCCGCAGAAACAGGUCUUGCACAAGGGACUCGAGCUCACUGUGUCCGUUGGAUACGAUGGUAAGUAAUCAAUGGCGGAACACGGCGGAAGAGGAAGAAGCAGCGGGAACUCGCCUUCUAAUAGAUGGAAGGACUUGCUUGCUUCAGGUGAAAUGAGUUCAUUUUUACCUUAACUAUGUUCAUUCUUCCAAGUAAAGAUGUCUUUUGACUUGUAGGUAACUGGGCGUAUUCUACUAUGAUCUUUGAAUUAAGAGGAAGUAAAGGAAUUUCAUACCGUGAUUGAGAAAAGUCCAAGCUUUUGGGAAUUGAAUUACUCGGAAAGUUGGAAUCAAAAUAUAAGGAGUUUGAGAGGAUUCCAAGCUCCCAAAUUGUUGAUUUCCCUGCCAAAUUAUUGAAGGGAAUUGUUGAAACUCAUCUUUCCUCCUGUCCCGACAAAGAAAAAGGAGCUCAAGAAAGACUAGUUGAACCUCUAUUGAGUCUUGUUAAGUCUUAUGAGGGUGGAAGAGAGAGCCAUGCCCAUAUAAUUGUUAAAACUUACAAUAAUCUUUGAUACAUUGUUUUUCUGCAUUACUAUAUUUCUAGUAGAACCUCUGUUUAGUUUUCUUUUUUUGCCUGUUCAUUCCAAUGUACAAAUGAUUGGUCUAUGAUGCAACAAAAUCUAAACCAGGAACUAAAUAGCUCUUUUAAUAUAAAAGAUGUUUUCUUUAUCUUUUAGUUUUCUAGAAUAUUCAUGUCCCUUUCCCUUGAUGUCUAGGCUGAUAAUCAGCUUGAAGGAACCAUUCCCAUAUCAAGUGGCAGUAAACCUGGUCUUGAUAUGCUUCUCAGUACCGAACACUUAAGAACCUACCGAGUCAAGUAAAUCAUCAAAUGUUGGCUUCAUAAUUAGAGCAGCAAUUGGCGGUGGUUCUUCCCUGCUUGUGUUACUACUCCUCACAGGGGGUUGUGCUUUAUGGCUAAAGGAAAAGGCAGAAAAAGCAAUCCAACAAAAUUACUUGUUUGAUGGUGAGCCACUUCCAACCAACAAGAGGUAUGAUGCUGCCAAAAUUUUCAGUCACCCUGAUAUUGUUGCUGAGGAAACAUGGUAUGGUAUUGAGCAAGAGUAUAAUUAUUGCAGAAAGAUGUAAAUUGACCACUUGGGUGGCCACUUGGUGGGUUUCCUGAACCACAGGUUCUUGAGGUGCUAGUGGAAGUGGUCCAAGGUGAUGCUAGGAACGUGUUGUGUGAUGCUGUAGAUAGGCACCGUGCAUCUGCAUUGGUUUUGGGAAGCCACAGCUAAGGAGCUAUCAAAAGAAGUGUUGGACCAAUAUUUGGAAGAAGCAAGGAGGGAUGGCAAAAUUAUAUACAGGCAAGGGAUAGAGAGAGAAGUUGAAGCCUGAUAGUUCGCGCUCAGUGCGUCAAGCUCGCUUAGCGAGAGAGUGUCUGCUCAAUACGAAGAAGUACCUUAGAGAACCUAUAGUUAGGCGAGAGGGCGCUUAGCACACAAGGUUCGCUUAGCGCCCAGCCACUUACUAGCGCUCAACACAUAGUCGCAGGAUUUCAAACUCAAGAAGGUUUUUAAGCAGGAAAAAAAAGGAAAGAAGGAAGGAAGUUCGUUCAGAGAUAAGAAGAAGCCCUAAAACUUGAGUUAGAAGGAGGACAAUCAUUGAGAGCCCACUUUCUUUCCCCACUUCACCUUCAUUCCCUAUCCCUUCAUCUUUUACACCUUUUGUAUAUUUGAGCCCUUCAUGAUCAUGGAGGGCUAAACACUCCAUUGUUGGGGAGUUUUUCACCAAACUCUCUUGAUGUAAAAACUCUUACUAUCUAUUUAAUAUUAUUGUCAGUUUCAUUGUU